UACGGGGGGAGCAAGCGUUGUUCGGAUUUACUGGGCGUAAAGGGCGCGUAGGCGGCGCAACAAGUCACUUGUGAAAUCUCCGGGCUUAACCCGGAGCGGCCAAGUGAUACUGUCGUGCUAGAGUGCGGAAGGGGCUACUGGAAUUCUCGGUGUAGCGGUGAAAUGCGUAGAUAUCGAAGAGGAACACCUGCGGCGAAGGCGGGUAGCUGGGCCGACACGUGACGCUGAGGCGCGAAAGCCAGGGGAGCGAACGGG
rnacentral:rRNA from 1 species